UGGAGAGUUUGUGACUGAAUCCUGCAGCAGGCAUAUUGCAGAAAUAUUCAGGAGAAACCAGAGAAUAAGAGAAUUAUGGUUGGUGCUAAUGUAUGCAGAUGACCAAGCAUUCAAAAUACUGUGUGAGGGGCUCCAACAUCCAGACUGUAAAGUAGAAGGGCUCUGGCUUUUGGGAAACACCAUGACUGAAUCCUGCAGCUGGCAUCUUGCAGAAGUAUUCAGGAAAAACCAGAGACUGAGAAAGUUAUGGCUGUGGCUCAACAAUUCAAAUGACACAGUGGUGAAGAUGCUGUGUGAGGGGCUUCAACACCCAGACUGUAAAAUAGAAAAACUAUGGUAAGUGAUCAUUGUUUCUUUCUCAGUUUGAUGUCUGUUAUUUUCUCUUGACUAUUUCUCUUGUGAAAAUAUAUCCAGGGACAGGCAGUUCAGUUGCCCUAUAUGAUCAUAGUCUCUUUAGUUCCUACACCCCUAAACACAGUAAGAAACAAACAACACAAGAAAAAGCAAAGGGACUAGAGAUACAUCUAGCUACUCUGAAACUUAAACAGCAAAAUGAGGAAUCCCAAUUAAAGGAAAAAGAUUGUAAUCAAACUGAACACUGUAAGGAACAAUGAACUAACCCAGAAAAUGAACCUUCAAAGAUAGACCGAUGGCAACAGAUCACUCAAAGAAGGAAACAAAAUCAAACCUAAUCCAGUCUAGUCCAGCCCUGCUGGAACUAAACAAUUUCAUAUCCUCCCCUUGGAAAAAUAGACACCUGGAGAAGGAACAUUGUCAAGUAUAGCAAUUGCAGGGGG